ACAGAUCCUUCUGUUGAUGCUUCUUCAAUUGCAGUGUCUCAAGCUGAUGAUUGGUCCCUGUAAGGCCUGUCACACGCCUGAUGGUGCUGGAAACUUGCCCAAGGCAAAACCUCUGGAUGGGCAAAGCCACAAAGCGUCUUAAUGGCACAUUUAUCUGCUAUUUUUUUUUUUUCAGUUCAUAUAGAAAAAGCAAGGCCUGGUGACUGUAUGCACAGACUGGUUUUCUAACACUAAUAGCAUCAGUUCUGUGGCUUCUGAG
ensembl:lncRNA